rnacentral:rRNA from 1 species
GAUAAACGCUGGCGGCGUGCAUGAGACAUGCAAGUCGAACGAAGGAUCGGGCUUGCUCGAUCCUUAGUGGCGGACGGCUGAGUAACGCGUAGGUGACCUACCCCGAAGUGGGGAAUAACUGCCCGAAAGGGUGGCUAAUACCGCAUGUGUCGCACGUUCAUUCGUGCGAGUAAAGCCGCAAGGCGCUUCGGGAGGGGCCUGCGUCCGAUUAGCUCGUUGGUGGGGUAAUGGCUUACCAAGGCGACGAUCGGUAGGUGGUCUGAGAGGACGAUCACCCAGACUGGGACUGAGACACGGCCCAGACUCCUACGGGAGGCAGCAGUCGGGAAUUUUGCUCAAUGGGGGAAACCCUGAAGCAGCAACGCCGCGUGAGGGAUGAAGGCCUUCGGGUUGUAAACCUCUUUUGUCAGGGACGAUGAUGACGGUACCUGGCGAAUAAGCCACGGCUAACUACGUG